rnacentral:rRNA from 1 species
GAUGAACGCUGGCGGCGUGCCUAAUACAUGCAAGUCGAGCGAACAGACGAGGAGCUUGCUCCUCUGACGUUAGCGGCGGACGGGUGAGUAACACGUGGAUAACCUACCUAUAAGACUGGGAUAACUUCGGGAAACCGGAGCUAAUACCGGAUAAUAUAUUGAACCGCAUGGUUCAAUAGUGAAAGACGGUUUUGCUGUCACUUAUAGAUGGAUCCGCGCCGCAUUAGCUAGUUGGUAAGGUAACGGCUUACCAAGGCAACGAUGCGUAGCCGACCUGAGAGGGGGGACGGCCACACUGGAACUGAGACACGGUCCAGACUCCUACGGGAGGCAGCAGUAGGGAAUCUUCCGCAAUGGGCGAAAGCCUGACGGGGCAACGCCGCGUUAGUGAUGAAGGUCUUCGGAUCGGAAAACCCUGUUAUUAGGGAAGAACAAAUGUGUAAGUAACUAUGCACGUCUUGACGGUACCUAAUCAGAAAGCCACGGCUAACUACGUG